AUACUGGGAGCAGUUGUGAAGUGCAGUGGAUGGUUUUCGUGUUUGGCUCAGCGGAAAGUUUGUGCACCGUCAUAUUCAAGUGUUAUUCUACAGUUCUAUAGGUCAGAACUUAGAAUAUCUAAGUAAGACGCCAAGAAAGAAGUUGAAUAAAGAAUUUAGAGGCUUACAAAAAUACAAAACAGAACAUAUGAUAAAAGUAAUUGAAGCUGUCAAAUCAGGUCAUUUGGUUAUCUCAAAGCAUCGAAAAUGUAUGUGCCACGUUCGACUCUCGCACGUAUGUUUUCACAGGUACAUGAGAAUACUAGAUACUAUUGAGACUGUAGUUUCUACAAAGUCAGGAAGAAAAACCAUUUUGGGCAUUGAUAUUGAGAAGCAAUUAGUCCAGUACAUCAUCGAGAUGGAAGGCAAUUUCUUUGGUUUAACUCCUAAUGAUAUCAAACUCAUGGCCUACCAACUGGCAGCAAGAAAUGGUAUUAAACAUCCUUUUGGCGAAGGCGUGGCUGGAAGAGGUUGGCUGGAUCAUUUCCAUGCUCGGCACAGUGACGAGAUUACACUGAGGAAACCUACAGGAACGUCAGCUGCUAGAGCGCUAGGGUUUACACAAGAAAUAUAAUCUUAAUAAGGAAUACGAUAAUCUUAAUAAGGAAUACGAUAAACAUCACUAUACACCAGAUUGCAUUUACAAUGUGGACGAGACUGGGCUAUCUGUAGUGCAAUCUAAAGUCCCAUGUGUUGUUGGACUGAAAGGAAGAAAACAAGUGGCUUCAUUGACAUCAGCAUAACGAGGUGCGCUGAUAACAUUGGUGUGCUGCAUGAAUGCAGGAGGAACGUUUGUGCCACCCUUGGCAUAAGUCAUCUUGUGAGUGCCUGGUCCUUUGAAUUAUUGUAGAAUACCAUUAUUUUUUUUAAGUUUUAACCUAGAAACAACCUAAGUUUAAAACAAGUUAUCAUAAACUAAAAUCAUAAGUGAAAGGAAA